CCUACGGGGGGCAGCAGUGGGGAAUAUUGCACAAUGGGCGCAAGCCUGAUGCAGCCAUGCCGCGUGUAUGAAGAAGGCCUUCGGGUUGUAAAGUACUUUCAGCGGGGAGGAAGGCGAUAAGGUUAAUAACCUUGUCGAUUGACGUUACCCGCAGAAGAAGCACCGGCUAACUCCGUGCCAGCAGCCGCGGUAAUACGGAGGGUGCAAGCGUUAAUCGGAAUUACUGGGCGUAAAGCGCACGCAGGCGGUCUGUCAAGUCGGAUGUGAAAUCCCCGGGUUCAACCUGGGAACUGCAUUCGAAACUGGCAGGCUGGAGUCUUGUAGAGGGGGGUAGAAUUCCAGGUGCAGCGGUGAAAUGCGUAGAGAUCUGGAGGAAUACCGGUGGCGAAGGCGGCCCCCUGGACAAAGACUGACGCUCAGGUGCGAAAGUGUGGGGAGCAAACAGGAUUAGAUACCCGCGUAGUC
rnacentral:rRNA from 1 species